rnacentral:siRNA from 1 species
UCGUCCUUCGCUAACCGGUA